GAGGUUGUGGCUCAGUGUUAGAGCACCUACCUAGCAUGUGUGAGGCACUGGGUUUGAUUCUCAGCACCACA
rnacentral:tRNA from 1 species